CUCUUACAACGUUGUCCUUUUUUUUUUCCUUCUGAAGUGUCCUUGAAAUUCUCAAGUGAGAAUUUAUGGGAUAAUAGAAACAUUGACAAUAUAUUUCCAGUGCCUCCCAACCAUCCUUAUGCCUCCUAGCACAGAUGUUCUUCAAAACUGACAAGUGACUGACAAGAACAGCAAGACAACUUGACAUCCCUGCCUUAUCAUUCGAACAGAACUGGUAACUAAAAAGUUUUCCAGUCCUGGUAUAGGUCGAGUCAAAGCUCCUUUCCUGAAAAUUUCCCAAGGAACACAGGAAACAUGCAAACACAGGAAAGAGAAUGAGGCUGAUCAAAGCAAUGUGACUGAGAGCUGGCACUUACUAUGCAUGCUAGAAGCAGUACCAUUUUUUCUUACUGGAACUAAAUACAGUGAAGGUUUUACUUAUCACAGCCCUCCUCUUCAAUUAUAUGUUUCUACCAUACUACUUACACAGUGAAACUCUUCCUGUUACAUACCAGAAAAGCCCUGAGGAGCCCUGUGUAGGUAAAACAGUUGCAUACCACCAUUUUAAAUCAGUCUGACAAAUAGGAAAACAGACCUUUAGGAGGAUAAUGCCCUAUCAGCCAUAUCCUUGUCAUAAUCAUGCCCUCCAUCCUGAAAGGACCUACUUCUUCCAAGCCAUGCCAGUUUCAAGCUGCCUGUUUGAUGGAUGCACUCAACUAGAAAUAAAGUAAUUUGACUGUUCUUGGAUCCUUAAGAUGUCUCUGAAGAUGACUCUAGAUUAAAUGUCAAAUGAGAAGUAUGACGUAUUUUAGUUCACUUUUGCAUUUUUAGUCAAUAUAAAUGUCACACAAAAUAGCAUUAUGGAGCAAGCAGCUUUUUUAUUCCUGCUUCUCAACUUAUACUCUGUACCCAAAACACAACAGAGAACUUCACACUAUAUCCCUUGAAAUCUUU